CCUCCAUCUUCCCUUUUGCUCCACAAUUUUUCUCUUUUCUUUCUUCAUCAACAGAUUGGAGCAUCCUGUAUGUGGUCAUUGUAUGCUUCCUAAUAGUCGUCGGCCUCGCUGGCUUUGUCUGGUUGACUUGCUGUAUAUGGAAAAGACGUCUAUGGCGGUGGAGAACCAGAAAACGGCCCAAAUAUUCUUUACUUUCACAAAAUGAUAAUGUCAAAGAAAAUUUUAAAAUGUUAACUAAAAGUAGGCAAAGUUUUUUCUUUUCUUUCUUUUCUUUGAAGAAACUAAAAUAAUUUCUCUUUU
rnacentral:lncRNA from 1 species